UAAAGUCUUGUGUAUAAAAUACUGAGUAUAUUAUGUAUAAUGUUUAUCUGAUUAUUAAUAAAGCUGGGCAUGGUGACAGACACUUGUAAUUCUGCACUCAGGAAGCUGAGGCAGAAGGAUCAUGGAGAGUUCAAGAUCAUCCUGGGAUCUUGAAAGAGUUCAAGGUCAGCCUGAACUGCACAGCAAGACUGUGUCUCAAAAAAAAAAAUCUAGGCUGGGAGUGUCACUUGGUGGUAGACCACCGGCUUAGCCUCCAGAAAGUCCCAAAAUAAAUAAGUAAUUAAGUGUAAUGAGUAUAUUCAAAAAGACCCCUAAUAUCUAUUCUUUUGAGGACUUAGGGGGGUCUUUUAUUUGUUUUUUGAGACAAGGUCUCUAUAGUUCAUGCUAGCCUUGAAUGCACUAUAUAGCUGGUGAUCCUCCUGCUUCAGCCUCUGAGUUGCUGGGAUUACCGGUAUGCAUCACCAUAUCCGACUCCUAAACACUGAUUCUUCCCGAGAGCUCCUUUAGGCUGCUGUUCUAAAUCCCAAGAACUGAGUCAGGAGCCGAGUAUUCGAGUUUGGUGGCCAGUCAUUGGGAGUCCAGGUGCCAUGGCUGAAGACUCAAUCCGAGGUGACAAAGUCCCCGCCAGGAGAGCAGCAGCGUGAGCAGCCACCUGUCCCCACUGCCCGCAGCCCACACAGCGUGAUCGUGGCCACGCUCCACGUACACUUACUGCAGAAGCAGAGACAACACAGUUCGGCUGCAAAUCAACACAGAGCAAAGGAGAGGAUCGAGCCGCAUGGAGCUUCAGGAAGACUUGCAUCCAAUCCCAGGUUUGGAUUAUUUUGCAAGUGAAAUGUUAACUUUCUGACAGCUGCUCCUCCUGGAAAUGUGUGAUGAUGAGGAGAGCUGAGUUUUAGACAUCCACAUGUGGCUUUGUCGUUGGGAAAGUCACCCUGAAAACCACGGGAAGAGUCUCCA
rnacentral:lncRNA from 1 species